rnacentral:rRNA from 1 species
CCCGGGUACCCCGUUCGUCACCAACCAACCCGACCCCCGGUCCCAAGACCACUGGAGUAGCCGGGUGUACCUAAAGUCGGUAACCGUAAGGAGCCGCCUAGGGUAAAAACUGGUGACUGGGGCU